GCCAGACAGACUCCCGUGUGGGGGAGAAAUGUUUUCACCUUGCUGAGGGAGCCCACGCAGCAAGUGUCCCGUGCAGUCCGGCACCAACCAUAAUCAGGAGGCUGGUGGGCAUUCCAGCUCCUGGGUACCGGUGGGCUUGCAGCCCUAAUGUCGCCUCCUCCGUGCUGCUCAUCCACAUCUUCCGAUUUACUUAAAGUCAGCAAACUCUUUCUCUUGCAUGGGACAGUCUGUGUGGACGUGCAGACCAACUGCUAGGGCACAGCCUGAGAACGGCCCUCUGUAGAGAAGUGUGCACGCCAGAGAGCAUUGGGCUGUUCCCAGAGACAUGCAACAGAACCCGUGGAGGGAACAGAGGAGCAGAAGCAGCUGGCUGGAGACCCAGAUAGUGCCCUGUGUGACGGGGAACCCAGAGGUGUCUGCGCUGGAACAUCAGAGCGGAGGCUGCCUGCUGGAGGGCAGGAUGAUGCCCCAAAGGUUUUGUGGGAAGGACUGUGUCCCCAGCUGGUCUAAUCCAGUGACUGGUGUCCUAUAAGAAGAGGGACAUUUGAACAGAGACAGUGGGACCUACAAAGGGAAGAAGGCAAGUAGCAGAGAGGGGGUGAUGGGACACCACGGCCCACCGUCAGCCCGGGGGAGGCUGGAAGAGGCAGGAAGAACUCUCCCCUAGAGCUUGCAGAGGGAUAGCUGGCCAGGGACGCCUCCAUCUGGCACCCUGGCUGGCCUCUAGCCCUAGAGGAACUAGAUUUCUGUUCUACGCCGCCUGGUUUGUGGUGCCUUGCUUCCGUGGUCCGGGGACACUGACACAGGUUUCUUGUGACGGCUCAGGAACGAGGACUCGCUCUGGUGUGGCUGCAGGGCUUCGUGAGACUCUGUGUAGCACGACCAGGGACAGCCCUUGGGCCGGUCACCUGCAGGCCCAGCUGGAGAAGCCCCGCCCACCCCCUGUGGGUCUGAGGCUGUGGGACCCGGCACCUGUGCUGCCCUGGGUGGGGCGGGGCUUCGGGCGGGGCGGGCCUUCCCGGUGAGGAGAGGGCCUCGGCCGGGGCGGGGCUUGGGAAGGGGGUGGGGCUUGGCCUGGAGUGGGCGGGGCUUCGCGGGGCGGAGCGAGGCCCCAGUAGGGGCCGGGCUUAGGGCUGAGCGGGACCUGGGAUGGGGGAGGGACAGUGGCGGGGCUUCUAGAGGCGCGGGGCUUGGGACGGGGCUUCGGGUGAACGUGGCAGGGCUCGGAUGGGGUCUGGGUCUCGAGCAGAGGCGGGGCCAGGGUGGGGUGGGGAGGGGCCGGGGUCAGGAGCCCGGGGGACCCCAGGUCCCGGGGCCGGUGGGCCGGGCCUCCUUGGGGCCGCUCCGCGCGCCAGCCCCCCCAGACCAGAGCCCGCGGCAGCCGACCCGCAGAUUCCUCAUUAGCCAAAGGAGCUCCUUAGAGGGGACAGUUCGCCGCCGCUGUGGGGAGUCUUCUCUCCUGUAAGGACACCAAAGAGGAACGGAGCACACGCUGGAGGCAGGCAGUGUCGG
rnacentral:lncRNA from 1 species